UACAGGGGGGGCAAGCGUUUGUUCGGAAUUACUGGGCGUAAAGGGCUCGUAGGCGGCCAACUAAGUCCGACGUGAAAUCCCCAGGCUUAACCUGGGAACUGCGUCGGAUACUGGAUGGCUUGAAUUCGGGAGAGGGAUGCAGAAUUCCAGGUGUAGCGGUGAAAUGCGUAGAUAUCUGGAAGAACACCGGUGGCGCAAGCGGCUUGCUGGGCUGUAACUGACGCUGAGGAACGAAAGCGUGGGGAGCGAACAGG
rnacentral:rRNA from 1 species